ensembl:lncRNA
AAAAUAUAAAAAUGUUAAAAAAUAAAAUGAAAAAUAAAAAUAAAAAGUAAUCUUUUAAAAAAAUACUGGCAAAAAUAUUAGCGUAUCAAUGUUGCUACUGUAACACUGGCUCGGUACAAACAUGUUCUUCAGUGCUGAACAGAGGCAUCUUACAAGACAGCAUCAUUUUCCUGUCUACUUCUGCGUUGCAAGCACGACUAUGACAUCUUAACAUACUACUAGGUUGCUCUUCCUCAUGUUUUGUGAGGAGACACGCACUUCCUACAAACAAAUGUUAUGUAAUUAAAGACACGCCAUCAAGACAAGGUGGAAUUAUGUAAUUUGAUACUAUACGAGUCUUAUGUAACACUGAGAAAAUGCAAACUGUCUUGUUUAAUAGGCCCGUGAUGUGCAGACAAUAAAUCAUCAGAUACUAUGUUUCUGUUUGUGAUGUUUCAUCUCAAUAUGUGGAUGUGAACGGAGCGCUUCUCAGGUGCACGGAGUGGAAAAGGACAAGAACUUUCCUCAAAUAUUUCAGGCGUACUGAGCUGGAGUCCAUCCAGGCCUUUGAAUUCCAGUCGAGCCCGUCACACGUGCCAGACCAACUCUGUUUUUAAUUUUUCACCCUUCUUGUGUUUUCCUUACAGAGGCCGUGCUUCUCAAUGCAAUCAUUCUUUGAUUCCUGGCGAAUCUGUCGGCGUGUGUGCAGGAAACGGGGCCAAAGCGGCUUCCUGAGCGGCUCAGGAGGAAACACGGAAAUAAGAAAGGGGUGUGUGUUUAAAAAAUAACUCGGGUAUAAAAGGUCCAGGCAGGAUCCCACUCACUCUCAGACUCGCAGGAUGCUUCUCCGGCGGUGCACACUAGAAAGUAUGCUUCAGGCACGCAGCCCUAUGAAGAGUCACCUGAACUCAUGCGGGAGGAAGUGCUAUCAGUUAAUCCCGUUAAUCAAAGGACACACUUCCUGUAGAGCUCUGUGGAACUUGGAAUGAUGCAACCGUCCUCUUCCCAACACCUGUGAGAAAUCACAAACCACAUCUCUUUAAUAUCUCAAUUCUGAAAGCAAUGAAAUAAGACAGAGAGCACACAGAGAAGUUUCUAGCAUCUCAGAUGUUCCUCCUGAGAAAAAGAUCUCACAUUUCUCAAGAGACCUCAGUGAUGCCUCAAAGCAUGCUCAGAAAGCGUGCAAUCAAAAAUCUCAGUAUGAGUUUUCUCAAUUACAUUUUCACAAUCUAAUGUGGCUUUCAAUGGAAACUAAUGGCAUAUACAGGUAUAUGAAUGACCAUUUACACAUG